CCUACGGGUGGCUGCAGUUAGGAAUAUUGGACAAUGGGCGCAAGCCUGAUCCAGCCAUGCCGCGUGAGUGAUGAAGGCCUUCGGGUUGUAAAACUCUUUAGCCGAUGAUUAUAAUGACUGUAGUCGGAAAAUAAGCCCCGGCUAACUUCGUGCCAGCAGCCGCGGUAAUACGAAGGGGGCGAGCGUUAUUCGGAAUCACUGGGCGUAAAGCGUGCGUAGGCGGUUUUGUAAGUUGGAAGUGAAAGCCCAGGGCUUAACCUUGGAAUUGCUUUCAA
rnacentral:rRNA from 1 species